rnacentral:rRNA from 1 species
CGUAGGGUGCAAGCGUUAAUCGGAAUUACUGGGCGUAAAGCGUGCGCAGGCGGUUAUGUAAGACAGGGGUGAAAUCCCCGGGCUCAACCUGGGAACUGCCUUUGUGACUGCAUAGCUAGAGUACGGCAGAGGGGGGAUGGAAUUCCGCGUGUAGCAGUGAAAUGCGUAGAUAUGCGGAGGAACACCGAUGGCGAAGGCAAUCCCCUGGGCCUGUACUGACGCUCAUGCACGAAAGCGUGGGGAGCAAACAGGAUUAGAUACCCUGGUAGUCCACGCCCUAAACGAUGUCAACUGGUUGUUGGGUCUCCACUGACUCAGUAACGAAGCUAACGCGUGAAGUUGACCGCCUGGGGAGUACGGCCGCAAGGUUG